UACGUAGGGGGCAAGCGUUGUCCGGAAUCAUUGGGCGUAAAGAGCGUGUAGGCGGUUCGGUAAGUCGGCUGUGAAAGUCCAGGGCUCAACCCUGGGAUGCCGGUCGAUACUGCCGGACUAGAGUUCGGAAGAGGCGAGUGGAAUUCCCGGUGUAGCGGUGAAAUGCGCAGAUAUCGGGAGGAACACCUAUGGAGAAGGCAGCUCGCUGGGACGUUACUGACGCUGAGACGCGAAAGCGUGGGGAGCGAACAGG
rnacentral:rRNA from 1 species